CCUACGGGUGGCAGCAGUCGAGAAUCAUUCACAAUGGGGGAAACCCUGAUGGUGCGACGCCGCGUGGGGGAAUGAAGGUCUUCGGAUUGUAAACCCCUGUCAUGUGGGAGCAAAUUAAAAAGAUAGUACCACAAGAGGAAGAGACGGCGAACACUGUGCCAGUAGCCGCGGUAAUACAGAGGUCUCAAGCCUGGUUCGGAAUCACUGGGCGUAAAGGGUGCGUAGGCUGUUUCGGAAGUCGUGUGUGAAAGGCGAGGGCUCAACCCGCGGACGGCAGAUGAUACUGCGAGACUAGAGUAAGGGAGAGGGAACCGGAAUUCGCGGUGUAGCGGUGAAAUGCGUAGAUAGCAAGAAGAACACUCGUGGCGAAGGCAGGUUCCUGGACAUUAACUGACGCUGAGGCACGAAGGCCAGGGGAGCGAAAGGGAUUAGAUACCCUUGUAGUC
rnacentral:rRNA from 1 species